UACGGAGGGAGCUAGCGUUGUUCGGAAUUACUGGGCGUAAAGCGCACGUAGGCGGCUAUUCAAGUCAGGGGUGAAAUCCCGGGGCUCAACCCCGGAACUGCCUCUGAAACUAGGUAGCUAGAAUCUUGGAGAGGCGAGUGGAAUUCCGAGUGUAGAGGUGAAAUUCGUAGAUAUUCGGAAGAACACCAGUGGCGAAGGCGACUCGCUGGACAAGUAUUGACGCUGAGGUGCGAAAGCGUGGGGAGCAAACAGG
rnacentral:rRNA from 1 species